UUAUAGUGCGCGUCAUUGCGGAGGGGUGGCCGAGCGGCUUAAGGCAGCGGUCUUGAAAACCGCCGAUGGGAAACCAUCCGAGAGUUCG
rnacentral:tRNA from 1 species